CUGUUUUUGUGAAAUUGUCCUUGUUUGCUAGUAAUGUGUUUCAAUAAUAUUGAUUAGGACUAAAUGUAGUAAUAAUACAGUAAGUUUAUGUGUUUGUAAUUUUUGUCACUGAAAAGCCCCUUCAGGGGAGUGUCAAUAAUCAAUAACCAAUAAUCAUCUGAUUAUCAAUUUCCCAUUUGUAAUACCAAAUGACUGAAAAACGGC
rnacentral:lncRNA from 1 species